rnacentral:rRNA from 1 species
AUGGCAAGCAUUUCGCUCGUUCUCACAAUUUGCGUCUUGGGCCUCUACGUGCCCGCCCCCUCCCUGGCGUCGCCCUCCGGCGGCAAUGACUUCCUCCGCUGCCUCUCGAAGGACGUCCCCGGCCAGCUCGUACAGACGCCGAGCUCGCCGUCGUUCAAGCAGCUCCUGUUGUCGUCCAUCAGGAACGCCAGGUUCGUGACGCCGGCCACAGCCAGCCCCCCGAUCUGCAUCGUGACUCCAACCAACGCAUCGCAUGUCCAGGCCGCCGUGCGCUGCGGGCGCCGCCACGGCGUUCGCGUCCGCGUGCGCAGCGGCGGGCACGACUGCGAGGGCCUCUCGUACCGGUCGGGCAGCGCCAACAGCGAGGGGUUCGAGGUGAUCGACCUCGCCAAGCUCCACGCCGUCCGCGUCAACCCACACGAGGCCACCGCGUGGGUCGACGCCGGGGCUUGGAGCGCCGAGGCCCAACCCACCGGAGCGGCGUGCUCUACAACAUCCAGUACCCUGUACGACUUCAUGACACCGUUCGUGAGCAAGAACCCGAGGGGCGCGUACGUGAACUACCGGGACCUCGACAUGGGCACGAACAAGGUGGUGGACGGCGUGACAAGCUAUGAAAGUGCCAAGAAGUGGGGCGAGAGUUAUUUCGGCCCAGAAAACUUUAGGAGACUCGCCAAGAUCAAGCACACUGUGGACGCUGGCGACUACUUUCGGAGCGAGCAGAGCGUGCCGCCACUUCCAUUGAACGAGUAG